GCAAGUGCCUAAAGACGAGCUCGCGCCUGAUUAGCUAGUUGGUGGGGUAAAGGCCUACCAAGGCGACGAUCAGUAGCUGGUUUGAGAGAAUGAUCAGCCACACUGGAACUGAGACACGGUCCAGACUCCUGCGGGAGGCAGCAGUGGGGAAUUUUCCGCAAUGGGCGAAAGCCUGACGGAGCAAUACCGCGUGAGGGAUUAAGGCCUGUGGGUUGUAAACCUCUUUUCUCAAGGAAGAAUCAAUGACGGUACUUGAGGAAUAAGCAUCGGCUAACUCCGUGCCAGCAGCCGCGGUAAUACGGGGGAUGCAAGCGUUAUCCGGAAUUAUUGGGCGUAAAGCGUCUGUAGGUUGUUUAAUAAGUCUGUUGUUAAAGACUGGGGCUUAACCCCAGGAAAGCAAUGGAAACUGUUAGGCUAGAGUGUGGUAGAGGUAGAGGGAAUUCCUAGUGUAGCGGUGAAAUGCGUAGAUAUUAGGAAGAACACCGGUGGCGAAAGCGCUCUGCUGGGCCAUAACUGACACUCAGAGACGAAAGCUAGGGUAGCAAAUGGGAUUAGAUACCCCAGUAGUCCUAGCCGUAAACGAUGGAUACUAGAUGUUGCGUAACUUGAUUAUGCAGUGUUUUAGCUAACGCGUUAAGUAUCCCGCCUGGGGAGUACACUCGCAAGGGUGAAACUCAAAGGAAUUGACGGGGGCCCGCACAAGCGGUGGAGCAUGUGGUUUAAUUUGAUGCAACGCGAAGAACCUUACCAAGGCUUGACAUGUCACGAAUCUCACUGAGAAGAGAGAGUGCCUUCGGGAACGUGAACACAGGUGGUGCAUGGCUGUCGUCAGCUCGUGUCGUGAGAUGUUGGGUUAAGUCCCGCAACGAGCGCAACCCUUGUCUUUAGUUACCAUCAUUCAGUUGGGGACUCUAGAGAGACUGCCGGUGACAAACCGGAGGAAGGUGAGGACGACGUCAAGUCAGCAUGCCCCUUAUGCCUUGGGCUACACACGUGCUACAAUGGCUAAGACAAAGAGCAGCAAGCUUGUGAAAGUUAGCAAAUCUCAUAAACUU
rnacentral:rRNA from 1 species